GCUGGGUAUGGUGGCGCAUGCCUCUAAUCCCAGUUACUCAGGAGGCUGAGACAGGAGAAUCGCUUGAGCCUGGGAGGCGAAGUUUGCAGUGAGCUGAGAUUGUGCCACUGCACUCCAGCCUGGGCAACAGAGUGAGACUCUGUCUCAA
rnacentral:sRNA from 1 species